AUAUUAUUUAUUCAAUCAACAAAAACGUUCAUUAUAAUAUUGUCGAAGGUUUAAACAAUAGGGCGGACAUUGUAAUUCUUCAUAGAGAAGCUACAUACAUUAAUGCCAUUUGUUUGGGAACAGUGGUAGAGAGGUCAAAACACAGUCGGGAAUCUCCAAACACAAAGCCACCCACGCACGGAAGGAAAAUAUUUCUGUUGCGGCAAACCUUUUCUUGGAGAUUAAAGUAUUUUUGGAAGCACCUUCAAGAGACGUACUGAUAUCUUGAUCAAUGAAAAGUUGUCAUAUAUAGUUAAUGUUCAAAAGUUUUAAAGACUGUUUGUUUUGUUACCAGAUGGUGCAAGUAUUGCAGUGAAAGAAAACAAUCAAAGUAAACAUUAAAUACACAUUUGACAAUUCAACAAAUUGAACAACAUGUAUUGUUUAUUACUUGGUGCGGUGGUAACAAGAUCUUGCAGGCCCUUUCAUGACCGGGUCGAAUAAGUAUUUUCAUUAAACAUCUUACACUAUUUCCAGUUAUUCAGAUUUCAUUUGAAAUUGAGUUCAUGAAGUAUUAAUACAAUUAAAUAUGUUUGUUGGUAUAAUAAACCCCCAAAGCCAAGACUAUUUGCGAUGAUCAUUUGUUACCUGUUAAUUAGAUCAUUUAUAUGUUUGUAUAGCAAGAUUUGUUACUUUGCGAAUACUGAUGUACUUCUUUAUGUACUUGGUGCUUUAAUUUCUAUUGUAACAUGUGCAUGCUGGUUUUAAAGCAAUGUUAUUAUUUAUGAAGAGUUUAUUUUGAUAUACUUAAGAUAUUCAUAUGGAGAUGAU